rnacentral:ncRNA from 1 species
UUCUGCUGGGGGAGCGAUGGCUGAGAAACCGCUUGGGCGGUGACCCUUAUUACCUGAUCCGGAUAAUGCCGGCGCAGGGAAGCAUAG